UCCCUCCAGGGUGUAAACUGCACCUCACGGCUUGGUGUCAGCACAAACUUGCUGAGGGUGCACUCCAAGAAAGAUGUUAAACAGCGCUGGUCCCAAUACUGACCCCUGAGGAACUCCACUUGCCACCAAUUGCAGAGUUUUUUAUGUCCUGCUGAAAUAAUUUUCUGCUUCAAAUUUGGGUGACAGUUGCCACAAAACCUCCCAUGUGCUCACAACUGGGCCUGCAUUCUGAAGAAAGGAGCCAGAAAAAGGUACCGGAUCUCCUUCUAGGAGUUUCUUAAAAGAGAUUUAGCUCACCAGAAUUGGAUGUCUGCUCCCUGAGUACUUCUCAUUCACCACAUGCUCUUGACACUUCACCCUGCUUGGCUUCUGCCUGUGACUGGAACCAAUGCGAAACCUCUGGCUCCAUUCCCCUCACUGCAGGAUUCUAAAGAACAGGCUGCGUGAGGCAGAACUGAGAGGUAGAGCUGGACAUCAACUGUUUCCUUGUGACUUGCAGACCAGUAAGUACCAUUGCACCAUGUGGUUACCUCCCAGAUGGAAGAAGCAAUAUAUAAUAGCUCUUUUAAACAGUUCCAAAAUGCCAUUAACACCAUUUCCCUCUCUAUACCUGUUUUUCUGACAUCAGAUUACACCUGGGUAUGGUGUAUUGGUAUUUGUUCUGUGCCUCACAGUGGUACCACAGGUCCAUCCGCAACUUACUCCUUCCUUGUCCUUUACUUCCUAAAUCAAGAAUAAAUAAGGAGAAGAAUUUGCUAACACCAUUCUCAGUGUGCUGCCAGCAUAGCACAAAUGGCAUGGUUAUCUUGUCAGGAAAACACUGGUAGCUGACAAGUCCUGCAGAGAGAUUAAAUACAUGGGAGGACUGUGAGCAGUACGAGACAGACCUGCUGCUACUGAUAAGCUAAAAUCAGUGUUUGUUCCCCAGCACUCCCAGUAGCAAACCAGUCAGUUGCAGUGUGCAUUCCUGAUGCCUGACCUUCUCCUGUGGCUGUUGUGCGUCUCUUGGCCUUCAAGCUUCCCACAACACAGAGAAUGACGUGCUGUCUGCUGAGUGACGUUUCUCAUCUGGGAUAUUCCUGCACAUCUGGACACCUUCCACAGACUGUCUCAAGAGAGAAGGAAGAGAGUUACAAAGGAUUCAUUGGCUUUCUGAUGGCAAACAUCAAACAGAGUGGGUGGUGUUUCACAAACACACUACGUAAUGGGGAAAGGGAAGUAGGAUCUUCAGCCAUGGCCACCACAGCAGCAGUAUGUACAGUAAUUUAUAUGGUGGAUUCAUCUGGAGAUUAUGUUACAAAACAAGCAAUGCAAGAAAGCAAACACAAACCCUUUUUUAACCAGUGCUCUAUAUUUUCAGUUAUAGCUGGCACAGUUUAUUACUUUUUAAGGCACUGAACAUAACUAUAUUAAACCCAUGAAGAUGUGUGGAGCGUGAGUGGCAUUUUACCAUCUUUGUGGGGGGGAAACAUCAGACAAGACUGUGCAAUUUCAGUUCCUCUGGGGAUUCAGCUCUGUUCUGUUGCUGUCCAGUUUGGUUACUUCUGUAGUCCCUGGGUAUACUUACACUGCUGGUGACCGGCAGCUUGAAGGAAGGCAGUGUGUAACAGAUUAACACCUGGAUGGCUGGAGUGACACAGCCCAGCUUGCAGAAAUGGAGCCCUACAUGCACUUCAGUGAUCUCACAAUCCACUUGUGGAUUGUUCCUCCUGUCCUUUGAGCUGGAUGGCAGAUAAACUUCGGUCAAUGUAUUAUACUAUGCCCUUUGUAAUGAAAUAACAUCAGAUAAUAUGUAUUUAGUGGGGAUUUAAAUUCCCGAGCUGAUUACAAGGAGCUGUUAAGACUCAUAAGCUUUUAGCAGUGCCCUGGGUUGAGUCUCAAUGAUGUCCAGCACUGCAGCAAUGUGUUCUUCCCAGUGGUGCUGGAAAGGCCGGGAAUUUGUUAGGAAUAAACCUGAGAACAUAAAAUGUCAGCGAUACAACUUGAUAUUCAGCAAGGAUUGAAGUGAAAACUAUCUCGUACAUUCUGAAUUCUUCCAGCUUUAACAAGCUGUUUGCUCUGAGAUCCCAGGUGUGUGACAACCUCUCCAUGCACUUCCCAGCAGUAAAACUAGCCUAGCAGCAUUUACUGUGCCCAACGAAUGUUACGGAAUGUGACUAAUUAAUGCUGUAAAAUGCUUCUGAGAAGAGGAACGCGAAAUAAAGGGAUUGUUACUUA